AUAAACUCCAUAACCAUUAAUUAAGCUAUCUUGUUGUUGCGGAUGACGUCCUCAACGCGGCUCGGUGAGCUCCUCUAUUCAGCGAACUCCGACAAAGCCAAUGAUGAUGACCAAGAUGAGCUCCGAUGAGCAAUAUGCCCCGACGAGGCCGGUGAAGAAGUCGACGGGCAGCUCCUCUGUGCAGCAAGUUCCGGCAAGGUAAGCGACGAAGACGACGAGCAGCUCCUCAACGCAGCGAUCAUUGACGGGGCCAACAACGGAGACGACAAGGUAGGUUUUUCAAGGUCGCUCCAAGACGUCCGAUUUGGUCUCCUCCAUGAACAGAACUUCGUUGUGCCUCUGUGCAGGAGGGAGGAUAGGAAUUCCUACUGAGAAGGGUUGCAUUGUUAACGCGUCCCUUCUGCUUGAAAUCCAGUGGUUGAUGGCUUCAAUUUGGGUAUAGAGUUUCCACAUCUGCUGCUUUAGCCACUGCGUGUGCUAGGAGGUUGCCAUCCCUGGGAGUCCACGUUAGACCCUUUUUAGGUAGCAUCCAUAUUUGCUUUUAGCCAAUCAUUCGGAGG